UCAGGGAACUGAAACAUCUAAGUACCUGAAGGAAGAGAAAGAAAUUCGAUUCCGUAAGUAGCGGCGAGCGAACGCGGAUUAGCCCAAACCAAUAAAGUUUUCUUUAUUGGGGUUGCGGACAUAUCAUAACGAAGAGGUAUCGUAAUUGAAGAGGUUUGGAAAGACCCACCACAGAAGGUAAUAGUCCUGUAUGUUAAACGAGAAGACUUUAGAUAUGAUCCAGAGUACCACGGGACACGUGAAACCCUGUGGGAAGCAGGAGGGACCACCCUCCAAGGCUAAAUACUACCUAGUGACCGAUAGCGUAUAGUACCGUGAGGGAAAGGUGAAAAGAACCCCGGGAGGGGAGUGAAAUAGAACCUGAAACCCUGCACUUACAAGCUGUGGAAGCACAUUUCUUGUGUGACCGCGUACUUUUUGUAGAACGGGCCAACGAGUUACGUUAAGUAGCAAGGUUAAGCACUUAAGGUGCGGAGCCGUAGCGAAAGCGAGUUUUAACUGAGCGUUCAGUUACUUGACGUAGACCCGAAACCGGGCGACCUACCCAUGAGCAGGAUGAAGCGAAAGUAAAAUUUCGUGGAGGUCCGAACCCACGAGCGUUGAAAAGCUCGGGGAUGACUUGUGGGUAGCGGUGAAAUUCCAAUCGAGCCCGGAGAUAGCUGGUUCUCCCCGAAAUAGCUUUAGGGCUAGCCUCAAGGUGAGAGAUACGGAGGUAGAGCACUGAAUGUCCUAGGGGGUAUUGCACCUACCGAAGACUAUCAAACUCCGAAUGCCGUCAUCUUAUACUUGGGAGUCAGACUGUGGGUGAUAAGAUUCAUAGUCGAAAGGGCAACAGCCCAGAUCGUCAGCUAAGGUCCCUAAAUGUAAGUUAAGUGGUAAAGGAUGUGGGAUUGCACAGACAACCAGGAUGUUGGCUUAGAAGCAGCCACUCAUUCAAAGAGUGCGUAAUAGCUCACUGGUCGAGUGAUCCUGCGCCGAAGAUUUCCGGGGCUAAAACUUACUACCGAAGCUACGGCAUCAGUAAUGAUGGGUAGGGGAGCUUCCCAUACGGGUUGAAGCAUGACCGUAAGGACAUGUGGACAGUAUGGGAGUGAGAAUGUUGGCAUGAGUAGCGAGAUGUGGGUGGAAUCCCACAGGCCGUAAACCCAAGGUUUCCAGGGGAAGGUUCGUCCGCCCUGGGUUAGUCGGGACCUAAGCUGAGGCCGAAAGGCGUAGGUGAUGGACAACAGGUUGAUAUUCCUGUACUACCGAUAACCGUUUGAGAGAAGGGAUGACACAGUAGGAUAAGCUAAGCACACUGUUGGUUAUGUGUGCCCAAGCAUUGAGGCAGUCAAAGUAGGCAAAUCCGCUUUGAUAAUGCUGGGAUGUGAUGGGGAGCGAAAUUUAGUAGCGAAGUAGCUGAUUUCACACUGUCAAGAAAAGUCUCUAUCGAGGUUAAAGGUACCCGUACCGCAAACCGACACAGGUGGGUGAGGAGAGUAUCCUAAGGCCAGCGAGAGAACUGUUGUUAAGGAACUCGGCAAAAUGACCCCGUAACUUAGGGAUAAGGGGUGCCACCAUCAGGUGGCCGCAGAGAAUAGGCCCAAGCGACUGUUUACCAAAAACAUAGGUUUCUGCUAAGUCGCAAGACGAUGUAUAGGAGCUGACGCCUGCCCGGUGCUGGAAGGUUAAGGGGAUCUGUUAGAGCAAUCGAAGCAGUGAACUUAAGCCCCAGUAAACGGCGGCCGUAACUAUAACGGUCCUAAGGUAGCGAAAUUCCUUGUCGGGUAAGUUCCGACCCGCACGAAAGGCGUAACGAUUUGGGCACUGUCUCAACAACAGACUCGGUGAAAUUGUAAUUCCGGUGAAGAUGCCGGAUACCUGCGACAGGACGGAAAGACCCCAUGGAGCUUUACUGUAGCUUGACAUUGGGUCUUGGUACUACAUGUACAGGAUAGGUGGGAGGCUUUGAAACCAGGACGCCAGUUUUGGCGGAGCCAUCCUUGGGAUACCACCCUUGUAGUACUGGGACUCUAACCAUAGGCCAUGAAUCUGGUCUUGGGACACUGUCAGGUGGGCAGUUUGACUGGGGCGGUCGCCUCCCAAAAGGUAACGGAGGCGCUCAAAGGUUCUCUCAGUACGGUCGGAAAUCGUACGUAGAGUGUAAAGGCAAAAGAGAGCUUGAUUGCAAGACAUACAGGUCGAGCAAGGAUGAAAAUCGGACUUAGUGAUCCGGUGGUUCUGCGUGGAAGGGCCAUCGCUCAACGGAUAAAAGCUACCCUGGGGAUAACAGGCUUAUCUCCCCCAAGAGUCCACAUCGACGGGGAGGUUUGGCACCUCGAUGUCGGCUCAUCACAUCCUGGGGCUGUAGUAGGUCCCAAGGGUUGGGCUGUUCGCCCAUUAAAGUGGUACGCGAGCUGGGUUCAGAACGUCGUGAGACAGUUCGGUCCCUAUCCGUCGCAGGCGUAGGAAAUUUGAGAAGACCUGUCCUUAGUACGAGAGGACCGGGAUGGACGUACCUCUGGUGUACCAGUUGUCUGCCAAGGGCAUGGCUGGGUAGCUAUGUACGGAAUGGAUAAGCGCUGAAAGCAUCUAAGCGCGAAGCCAACUUCAAGAUAAGAUUUCCCACCGCAAGGGUAAGACCCCAGAAAGACUAUCUGGUUGAUAGGUCGAAGGUGUAAGUGCAGCAAUGUAUUUAGCUUAUCGAUACUAAUAGGUCGAGGACUUGACCA
rnacentral:rRNA from 1 species